UACGUAGGGGGCAAGCGUUGUCCGGAAUCACUGGGCGUAAAGCGCGCGCAGGCGGUCAUCUACGUCUGGGGUGAAAGCCCGGAGCUCAACUCCGGGACUGCCUUGGAUACGGGAUGACUUGAGGAUCGGAGAGGCAAGGGGAAUUCCACGUGUAGCGGUGAAAUGCGUAGAGAUGUGGAGGAACACCUGUGGCGAAGGCGCCUUGCUGGCCGAUUUCUGACGCUGAGGCGACGAAAGCGUGGGGAGCAAACAGG
rnacentral:rRNA from 1 species